rnacentral:rRNA from 1 species
CACGUAGGGGGCAAGCGUUGUCCGGAUUUAUUGGGCGUAAAGAGCUCGUAGGCGGCUCAGUAAGUCAGGUGUGAAACCUCCAGGCUCAACCUGGAGACGCCACCUGAUACUGCUGUGGCUAGAGUCCGGUAGGGGAGCGUGGAAUUCCUGGUGUAGCGGUGAAAUGCGCAGAUAUCAGGAGGAACACCAGCGGCGAAGGCGGCGCUCUGGGCAGGAACUGACGCUGAGGAGCGAAAGCGUGGGUAGCAAACAGG